rnacentral:lncRNA from 1 species
ACAUAUGAUAUACAGUCGAGUCCACUUAUAACAAUACCGGUUUUAACAAUAUAUCGGAUAUAACAAUGGACAGCCGCGGCAUCGUCAGCUUUUCAUU